rnacentral:rRNA from 1 species
CAAGAGAUGAGGUGUAUGAAAAUACAACAAGAGAUGAGGUGUAUGAGUGGUUCGUGUCCAUCAGAGUGUCUGCAGCGUAAUUAUUAUUGAGUGAGUGCUCAGAGAAGGUGAAAAGCCUGUGUGGUUGUGUCACUGUGGUGGACCGUUCUACUUACGAGUCUAGUUGUUUGAGAGUACAACUUAAAGUUGGUGGUAAAUUUCAUCAAAGGCUAAAUAUAUGAAGGGACUAAUAGCGAACAAGUACCAUGAGGGAAAGUUGAAAAGUACUCUGACGAGAGAGUUAUACAGUACGUGAAACCAUACUGAGUAAAACGGAUAACUGUGUUGUUUUGCCCAGAUCCAUCAACAGCGCUGCACGCCAUGCCAAACCACAAGAGUCAGCUGUCUAUUCAGCGUCGUGUCUGGUGGUCGGCAGAACGGGUAGCUCUGUGUACUGGUGUCUGGGCGUUCAUUGAGAAACUAUGGUGUUGCGUCAUCGGGGUCGAUCAGUUCGUGCUAUGUGCGUAGAUUGACUCUGGGUGUAUCUGCUAACGCCGUCGUUUGGCCAUUCAUGUGGCCGUGAGAUGCGUUCACCAGCUCGCUCUGCUUUAGCUACGAAUCGGUUUAUUCCUUUUUGUGUCGAGUACGAGUCGGGUGCCUGUGAGCGUCUCGCCAUCAAUGAUAUGAAACAUUAGUUAUUCGACCCGUCUUGAAACACGGACCAAGGAGUUCAAAUGGCACGCGAGUCAUUGGGUUUAAUCACCCGAAGGCGAAGUGAAAUGCAAAUUUAUCGUCA